AAAAACAUUAAAAAUUUACUAAAAAUAAAUAAUAGACUACUAUAGAAUUUUUACCAAUUCUCUACUCAUUCGUCCCUCACACCAUUCACAUUUCCAUCAUCUUUUAUUUUUACCAUAAAUAAUAUACCCUUAAAAUAGAAAAGAAAAAACAAAAUUAUAAAAUAAAACAAAAAAUUAAUUUAAUAAAAAAAAAACUACUAGAACCUUCAAUUUUAUCAUACACAACAUUUUUCAUAAAAAUUUAAUAGAAUAUCUAACACAUUUCUCAUCAACUUCAGUCACUUACACAUAAAUUUCUCCCCUCAUUUCUUUAAGGUACAUUAACUGCAUGCUUUUCAUGUUUUAUAUAUUCUUUGAUAAAUUUCUUAACCAUUUUUAUAUCCA
rnacentral:lncRNA from 1 species